rnacentral:rRNA from 1 species
UACCGAGGGUGCAAGCGUUGUUCGGAAUUAUUGGGCGUAAAGGGUGCGUAGGCGGUGCGGUAAGUCUGUAGUGAAAUCUCUGGGCUCAACUCAGAGUCUGCUAUAGAAACUGCCGUGCUUGAGUGUGGGAGAGGUGAGUGGAAUUCCCGGUGUAGCGGCGAAAUGCGUAGAUAUCGGGAGGAACACCUGUGGCGAAAGCGGCUCACUGGACCACAACUGACGCUGAUGCACGAAAGCUAGGGGAGCAAACAGG